AAAAAAAAAAAAAAAUAAAUAUGAACAAUUAAUUAGUGAGAAAAUGUCCCACAGUUAUCAAUAUCUAUCUGUUAUUUCUGCUCUCUUGGCUCCAUUGUUCCUAUUAUCAUCAUCCCAACCAUUCAAGGGGGAUUCGCGUCUCAAGUUGCGAGGUUUGGUUGAAGCUGCCAUUCCUGAAAAGGAAUAUAUAGUGCCGUUAACUUUGAUAUCGUUCACAAUAUCUGAUAUUUAUUCAGAAUUAACUAGAUCUGCAUUGGCUGAAUCUUCCAUUGUGACAGCUUUGGAGUCGGUCACAGAAGAUGAAUCUUUCUCCCAGUCAGAAAUCUCCAUUGGAACAGCCGUAUUAUAAUCAGAAUCAAUUGCAUUCAUACGCUCUGAAUCUUCAGCUGCAGCUUCAGAAUUAAAUGUAAUUGUUGUAUCCCUAUCACAGUCCAAGAUCUCCACUGUAACAGAGGGAUGUAAAGACUUAAACUUAUCGAUAUUCAUAUCCUCGGAGUCAACUCUUGAGGACAACUCAUUUCCAUUGGAUGAAGCAUCCAUUGAAACAGCUGAACUUGAUCCAACAUCACAUUCAUUUACAAAUUCUG
rnacentral:misc_RNA from 1 species